rnacentral:rRNA from 1 species
UACAGAGGUCCCGAGCGUUGUUCGGAUUCAUUGGGCGUAAAGGGUGCGUAGGCGGCGGAGCAAGUCUGAUGUGAAAUCCCGGGGCUCAACCCCGGAACUGCAUUGGAUACUGCUUGCUAGAGGACUGGAGAGGAGACUGGAAUUUACGGUGUAGCGGUGAAAUGCGUAGAUAUCGUAAGGAAGACCAGUGGCGAAGGCGGGUCUCUGGACAGUUCCUGACGCUGAGGCACGAAGGCCAGGGGAGCAAACGGG